AACCCUUGCUGUGUGUUACAUGUGUCACACGGGACUGCCGGUCUUAAACCGGAGGAAGGUGGGGAUGACGUCAAGUCAGCAUGGCCUUUAUGUCCUGGGCUACACACACGCUACAAUGGCCGGUACAAUAGGUUGCGAAGCCGCGAGGCGGAGCCCAAUCCUCAAAAGCCGGCCUCAGUUCAGAUUGCAGGCUGCAACCCGCCUGCAUGAAGAUGGAGUUGCUAGUAACCGCAGGUCAGCUAUACUGCGGUGAAUACGUUCCCGGGGCUU
rnacentral:rRNA from 1 species